AGUGCCUCUUUCAGUGAUACGAAGCUAAAACCAGAUACUAUGGACUUAUCUCUCAAGGCAAAGAAUAAAGAAAAACUACUUGGCUUUCAUAGUACUUUUCUGACCACGGUUUUCUGGAGUUUUUUCGUAUGGAGUUUGUAAGCUUCCUGACAUGGAUUAUAACUGUACUUGAUGGAGCACAGUUAUAAUAGCUGCUUUAGAGUCCUUGAUAAUUCCCACAUCUGAGUCAUCUCAAGUUAUUUUUGGCAGAUUUUGAUGGAUGUACAUUGAUGGAUAGCCACGUGGAUCCAGAAAAUAAAGACUUCUACUCUGCAUUUGACUAAAGCAGAAGAUAUGCAAGGAAGCUCAGUCUCUCAAUUGAGUGGAUUCUGAAAUUUAUCCUGUUGUCUUCAGCUACUAAGGCUAAUUUGCAAAUCACACUGUGCACGGUUUUAUCUCUCCCAAUAAAUACAAUAUUCUACAUCCUCUGUUGUACUCAGAAUUUGGAAAUUAACCCCAGUAUGCUGAUUAAUAGUCAUAACUAUAUCUAGAUAACAAAAUAUGCAUAUAUAUGAAGGAGGCAGACAAUAGGGGAGGGCAGGUUGAAAGUUUUUUUUAUCCUAAUUUCUUGAAACUCUUCUUACAUGAGUCCCCUGACUACUCUUACAUAUGCAUCAUUUUCUCUCUCGUGAUCACAUAUGCUUUAAAAUAUGUAAAAUUUAUAUGAAUAUAUUUUAUGCCUGGCUGCAUUUUAAUACCUUCCGUCAAGGGUUCCAGGGUGAAAUAGGAGCACUUAGGAAGCACUGCAAUGAAUUUACUGCUUAUUCAGCAUAUUGAUAGAGUCUUCUCUAAAACAACAAAAAGUGUUGACAGCAAACUGAAGAUCUUAAAGGUAAG
rnacentral:lncRNA from 1 species